UAAAAUCUUGCCACAGCCAAGAAAAGUGCAAGGUUUGGGGAAAGCAAAUCAGCCCUGGCAAGUGGUGGUUUGGUGGGCGGCAGCCAAGUGGCUUCGUCCUCGGCACACCCGUCUUUAGCCGUGUUCCCACCUGCAAGCAGGUGGCCUGUGCUGUCUUACCCCACCAUCCGGCACUCCUCCUCCCGCAGGUUGACAGACAGUGGCUGGAGAGGCCCUCUGUACAGGUGACAGCUACAUAUCAGGGCAGGUGGGAAGGCCAAUUGGGUUGUUGGGACCGGGCGGUGUUUUCAUUUUGGUGGGCUUGGUGGGGCCUCUGGGGUGACUGGUUUCUGUUCUUGUUUGCCUGUGGGUGUUGCCUGCUUGGGCCCAGCAAUGGGAUGCCAAGCCUCUUCAGGGAGCACAGAAGGCGCAGGGGCCUUUUGGAGCUGCAGCCGUGACGCAAGUGAGCCAGCUGCUGGAGGAUGUCCACAACCACCACGGCCGCCCCUGCGGGGAUCCCGGCGGCUCCGGGCCCUGUGAACCCACCCCCGCCCGAGGUCUCCAACCCCAGCAAGCCCGGCCGCAAGACCAACCAGCUGCAGUACAUGCAGAAGUGGUGGUGAAGACGCUCUGGAAGCAUCAGUUUGCCUGGCCCUUCUACCAGCCCGUGGACGCAAUCCAGCUCUAUCUUUUUGUGGGUGGCUCUUUGCCUGCCGGCCGUCUGUUCCUCCUGGGUUGGGAGCUUUGGCCUUGUGUCUUGGCCAGGUGAUGCUGGAGAUGUGGCAGGUGCUGUUAAGCCGAGGACAACCUGUGCCUCCAGUAGCCCACAGCCCCAGGGUAAUGGCCUGUGACCCCCAGUAGGAAGGAGCAGCAGGGCUACGGGCUUAUGGGAGAGUGGGCGGUCAGUCUUGGGUGCAGGAGUUGGGGAGCAGGCAGGAGGUGCCGACAUUGUUGGGGCUCAGGAGCAGAUCUGUGCAACUGAGGCCUGACCUGGGGCCGUGUGCAUGUCCGCCUGUCACACCCACUUGUCUUCCGAUGUCAGCUGCACACCAAGAC
rnacentral:lncRNA from 1 species